UUGCCUAAGACUGGAAUUACUAGGAUAGCUUUGUUUUGAUCUAAAAAAAGUGGAAAUGAAAGGAUGGAAAUUGGGAUAUGUAGCCCAAGGAAUGUUGAGGAUGUUUUGUAAUCAUUUAUAAAUGAAUAUAUUUUGGUUCUUAAUAAUUAAAGCAAAAAAGAAAAUGUCAAAUCUUAUUUUCUUAAAGUUUUUGGGAUGAUCAGGAAAAGCUUUCAGUAGAGAUAUUGGAUUUUGAAAUGUUGGUAGACAUGACCUUCCAGAUCAGUUCAGGUUACAUAAGAUAAAGUGUUGGAAAUACCAAGUUAGAUUGUAAUUACUUCUAGAAUCCAGGUAAACUUGUAGGACAUGCAACAGAAUGUUAGUUGCAAAUAAAAUAUAUGGUCUUAAUUAAACUCUGGUUAUUUUUACACACAAGAAGUGACACAAUUAGGCAAGUUCCUUUAAUCCCUAACAAUGUAUCAAUUAUUUUUCGGAAGAGUUCUCACAGGAAGUUUAUAUGUUUUUGGAAUUUUAUACAGAUUGCUCAAUCUUGAAUUGCAUUUGGCUUCAAUUUUGAGAUGUUUGGGCUAUUAAAGUUCCUCACAGGGUGCUUAUAUUUUGUAACUCUGUUCUUAUUAUGCAGACUUUAAAACUUAAGACUUUGCAUUGUCCCUUGGGGUUGCAUUUAAAAUGAGUUUCACUUGGUGUAUGUUUUUAAUCAAAAUACUAUUAAGAAAGAUCAAGCACAUAUUGAUAGCAGUACAUGUAAUAGGUGUAUUCAGGCCCAUUGCACAUUAUAUAAAAUAAAAUAUUUCCAUUUGAUGUAAUUAAUAAUUAAACAUCUAUACCUUAAAGAAUUUUAGACUUUGCUAUGCAUUUGGGCUACACAGUGGAAGAUUGUGGUCAUAUAGAGCUGUAGAGCUCAGAUGCACAUACAUGUAUCACAGGCAUUAAUAAUAUUUAUUGAAAGAAUAUGUAAGAGGGAAGGGAUUUAGUCAAUUAGCACAUAAAUAAGAUUAGUCGAGUACACGAGUACUGCAAGGAUGGGUAAUGAAAUUGCAGCCAAAAAAUCCUAGUUUGAAAUUGGCAUCUAUUAAGUGCCAAAUAUCUUCAUGGCAGCUUAAUUGGUAAGUAUGAUAUACAAAUUGGAAUACUAGGUAAUGUAUUUUUUUGUAGGAAUAUCAUUAAGCAAGGCCAGUAUGCUUCCAAAAUGGUAGUAUUGUCUUUUACAGACAUUUGUAACCACCACUAAGUAGUGUUGUACCUUCUUGUAAUUGAAUAUGACGAAGAAUUUCAAAUUGCUCUGCUUAAAUUGUUUACAGGUAAUUAGAGAGUGAAUGUGUCGCUUUCGGAGAUAUAAAAUUUGGUUUUUUUUUUUUUUUUCAAACAGCAGGACAUGGCUUUCCUAGCAAAUUUUAAACAGGAAUUAUGAUGAAGGUAGUUCUCUUGAGUGAAACAUUCCUAUUUGGAAACUUUAAUUUUGAUUAACUACAACCAUUUAUAUCUUAAAUGCCUUGAAUAAUAGAGAAACGAAAAACAAUGGUGGUAAAGAGCAUUGCAAGGUUGCUCAGACAUUUCAGAAGGAAUUAAUAGGCAUGUAAGUUUCUACAAAACAGAGCUUUAUUAGGCAUUGAGGAAUUAAGUGAGAUACAUCACAUUUGGUAAGGAUUGAUUGCCUUAUGUGUUGUAAAACCUUUUCUUAAUUAUGGGAAAUUCAAAAUACUUUAUUCUAAGUCUGCAAAAGGCAUGCACAUCUACCUAUCAAGAUGUGUGCGAGUAUCUUGCUGGGAAGGGGGGUCUUGGCAGUAUUGGUCGUGGUCCAGUUGACUUGCUUUGCUUCCCCCAAUGUGUGGGGUGACUGCAAGCUGUGUCAACUUGCAGCCAUGUGGCGUCUGCGCACACCAAGUCAACUGAUAACUGAAUGUUUGUGUGAAACUUGUAAUAAACUGUCACCUUGUUGAAAUGCUAAUGCUUGUGUAAACUAAGCUAAUAAGCUUACUCUUGGUGACAGUAUUAUAUACUUUAGAACUGUACUACAUCGUACAGAUGUUAUCUAUGAAGUUUGAGAUAUUAAUGAUAUUUGAUAUGCAAGAUUUGAUAAAAUAAGUUGAUAUGCUUGAUAUUGGAAUUUGAGAUAUGACAUAUUGAUUGAUUGAUUUGAUUGAUUGAUUGAUUGAUUGAUUGAUUUGAACAAUUUGUAUGUGUGCUGACCCUCCGCGGUUAACCCGGGACGGUUAGAAAAAAGAAACACACAUUGUUGAUCUUUGAAUUUGGUGGGUUUGCCCAAUUGAAAUGGCAUCCCACAAUUUUGUAUUGUGCCACGGCCAAUAUCCGCCACAAUAAAUAAGUAUAAAUUCUA